UUGAAGCGCUUGUGAGUUUUCUAGAAGCUUCUGAUUUCCCACCCAGAAUAUAUCCUCUCCCAGGAUCAUAGUGAGCAGGCUAGCAGGGUGAGAGUGCCGUCUUGCCAGGGUCAGAGGCUGUCUGUGCCUUCCACAGUCCUGAGUCCUUCACCCUCUACCUGUUACCUUUCCUAAAAGGAAAGUAGUCCUGAAAGUAGUCCUGCGGUGGGAAUAGAGAAUGGUUGGCUAGACUAGCUAGCUACCCUGAUGAGGAGAUUCCAGAACGUGUAUGGUGGGGCUAAUGGGAAGGCUUGCUUGACUAGAAAGGCUUAGAGGUUGGAUGGAAUAGGGUAGGCAGAAGCUGCAAUUUUCCACAGCUCAAGUAAACAGGGCCUUUUCUACCUGCAAGGUCGCACCCACCAUGUGGCUGGUUUCUUGGGGCCAGAGGAGAGAGUGGUUGUCUGCUGGUAGUGUGGAGUCUGCUGCUGCUGGGUGGGAGUCGGCCUUCCUUACCCUCUCUGGUGUGCAGGGCGGGCCCCAUUGCAUCACCCUUGGAGUCUCUGCUCCUGGCUUUGCAGCCAGCUGGGCCCCUAGAGGAGGGACUCUCCCUGUUUUUCAACAAACCAUUAACCAUUUCACCCUCCUAACUCUCAUUAUGCCAGUCUGGAUUUCCAAGGUUAGCCUUCACACCUCUCUACCCUGGUAGGGAUAAUCCUCUUCAUGCCCACAAUGACAAAAGGUUCUGCCUGGCGGCUUUGGAGCAGUUGCAGGCUCCAUCACACCAAUGCAACCCUGGUCUCUUCCCUGGGAGAAGAGUUAACCUCCCUCAUCCCCACCCUCAUCAUUUGUCCCAUUCUGCAGUGGUGAGAACAGAGCUCCCGGGCCUCCAGAAUGAGCUCAUGCCACUUCCACACUCCAGCGUCCCGACAAAGGGUCAACAACGUUCUGGGCUAAGAGCAAGUUAGCUUGCUCAGUCCAGAGACCAGGAGCUUGGACAUUGGCCUUUUUCCAAAAUUCCUCUAACCAUUUUCUGCAGGCCUACUUAGGCCUUUGCCUUAUUUGUAGGACCACAGGGAAAGGAUGGGUGAAAUGAGGUCCCUUGAAGGCCCCAGGAUCAACUUAUGAAGACACAGUGUCCUCUUGUUCCUGUAGGGCCUAGACAAGGAGGUAUGAGUUGGUGGGCAGGCACUGAAGCCUAGGCCACACUCAUGUUCAGAAGUCUUAUCUCCUAGUCCCAGCAUUCCUUUCAUUGCCCCACCCACUCCAGGGCCUGAAAUAGUCUGGAAUUGCAUCCAAGCCUAAAUCUAGGUCCCAAUUUUAGUUCUCCAUUUGGCUGAUAGUAACUCUCAGAAUAUUGAGCUGAGUCCUGGAGGGGGUACACAGAUAAUAAAGCACAACCCCUGCCUUCAGGGAGCUUGCACAACGUAUCCAGAGGACUACUCACUGAUCGCAGAUGCCUGUUGAAGAAGAAAGAAAAAUGGAUUCCCAUGGGAGAAAUACAGAACUUAUGAAUGCAGCAGCUGUCAGCAAAAAGAUAACGUGGAAGCAUUCCUGUGCUCCUGUGACAUUGACUGGAGGCUGCCUGAUGUACAGAUCUGGUAGAUGCAAGUGGGUGAAGACAACUAAUCAAGGUCGUCAGGACAGUUGGCAUGAUGAACCGGAAGCCUGAAGAUGAGCUAUUAGGGUGAGCAGUGUAGAGGUGAAGCUGCAGCCGUAAAACCCAUCAUAAGACUCAGCUGGAGGGGUUGGUUGGCUUGAGAGCAACUCACACGGGGAAAGGCUGGGAGUGUUGCCACCUAGCCACCAAGGCUAACUCAAAUAGGUUGUGGUGACUCAAAAAGCGGUAACCACGGCAACUGUUGACAAUGGUGCACUCGUAACACAGCUCACUCAUCAAGUCUUCCCAUAGAAAAAUUCAGGCCACCGAAGUAUUUAAUGGGAAAAUCAUACGAUUCGCAUAAGUGAUAUUCUGGGGAGAUGCACAGUGUUCUGUGAGAAGUUUCCAGGACACUGUCUAACUCUAUUAAACAUGGAAUGCUGCAUCUCAGGUUUCCAAACCGUUCCUUCCCAGGAGCGCCUUUCCUCACAAAGACAUUAAAUAUGCACCACUGGGGAGUUAGAGGGACAGAAGUGGGUCAGCAGGUGCAGUGCCCAUGGCCUUUGCAUCAAGGUGACCCAGCAGAGAAGUGUGCAGAGCUUCAACAGUGCCUGGUGCCUGCCCCACCACAUAACACUACUCUUUUACUUCCAAAAUCUCCCAGAGAGAUCUCUGGUGGGAAAGGUCAACUCCAAACUAUAUAUAGAAGGGAAUUCUAGAAACUGUAUUAAAAGUAUACGUGUGUGCAUGUGUGUGUGUGUGAAUGCAUGCAUGCGUAUAUGUAUAUUGGAGACAAGGUUG